rnacentral:rRNA from 1 species
AGUGAACGCUGGCGGUAGGCCUAACACAUGCAAGUCGAACGGCAGCACAGUAAGAGCUUGCUCUUACGGGUGGCGAGUGGCGGACGAGUGAGGAAUACAUCGGAAUCUACUUUUUCGUGGGGGAUAACGUAGGGAAACUUACGCUAAUACCGCAUACGACCUACGGGUGAAAGCAUGGGAUCUUCCGACCUUGCGCGAUUGAAUGAGCCGAUGUCGGAUUAGCUAGUUGGCGGGGUAAAGGCCCACCAAGGCGACGAUCCGUAGCUGGUCUGAGAGGAUGAUCAGCCACACUGGAACUGAGACACGGUCCAGACUCCUACGGGAGGCAGCAGUGGGGAAUAUUGGACAAUGGGCGCAAGCCUGAUCCAGCCAUACCGCGUGGGUGAAGAAGGCCUUCGGGUUGUAAAGCCCUUUUGUUGGGAAAGAAAAGCAGCAGGUUAAUACCCCGCUGUUCUGACGGUACCCAAAGAAUAAGCACCGGCUAACUUCGUG